AGUGAACGCUGGCGGUAGGCCUAACACAUGCAAGUCGAACGGCAGCACAGUAAGAGCUUGCUCUUACGGGUGGCGAGUGGCGGACGGGUGAGGAAUACAUCGGAAUCUACUUUUUCGGGGGGGAUAACGUAGGGAAACUUACGCUAAUACCGCAUACGACCUACGGGUGAAAGCAGGGGAUCUUCGGACCUUGCGCGAUUGAAUGAGCCGAUGUCGGAUUAGCUAGUUGGCGGGGUAAAGGCCCACCAAGGCGACGAUCCGUAGCUGGUCUGAGAGGAUGAUCAGCCACACUGGAACUGAGACACGGUCCAGACUCCUACGGGAGGCAGCAGUGGGGAAUAUUGGACAAUGGGCGCAAGCCUGAUCCAGCCAUACCGCGUGGGUGAAGAAGGCCUUCGGGUUGUAAAGCCCUUUUGUUGGGAAAGAAAAGCAGCGGGUUAAUACCCCGCUGUUCUGACGGUACCCAAAGAAUAAGCACCGGCUAACUUCGUG
rnacentral:rRNA from 1 species